rnacentral:sRNA from 1 species
AUUCCCGUCUCCCCACCCUCACCAUCCCUCAGGACAUCACGAGUGGUUGCUUGGACCUGAGGUGGACAUUCUCCCCUUUUUGCUCCUGCCCUUGGCUGGGCCUGAAGAUUUCUCCGAGGAAGAGAUGGAACGUGAGUGGCUAGUGUGGAGCCUCAGAGUUGGCCGGAGAGGAGGGAGGCCAGUGGAGGGAGAGAGAGGUGUCCAGGCCCCAGGCUCCUGAAACUUUGCAGCAGUGAGUUGCUGAGCACAGGCUGCCCAGCCCAGGGACACAGUGGCUCCCACACACUCACCCCUAGGGCUGCCUGUCGACCUGCAGUACCUGCCACCAGACAAGCAGCGAGAACCUGAUGCAGACAUCCGCAAGAUGCUUGUUGAAGCCAUCAUGCUGCUGACAGCCACAGCACCAGGUCGGCAGCAGGUGCGGGACCAGGGAGCCUACCUGAUCCUUCGAGAGCUGCACAGCUGGGAGCCGGAGCCCGACGUGCGGACGGCUUGUGAGAAGCUCAUCCAGGUUGGUGCAGGGUUGGAGAGGCUGGGGAAGGGGUGUCUGUAGCUGGCCAGCUGCUCACCUGCCUCCCGUCUGGCAGGUGCUUAUUGGGGACGAGCCCGAACGUGGCAUG